rnacentral:rRNA from 1 species
GACGGGGGGGGGGCAAGUGUUCUUCGGAAUGAUUGGGCGUAAAGGGCAUGUAGGCGGUGAAUCGGGUUGAAAGUGAAAGUUGCCAAAAAAGUGGAGGUAUGCUCUCGAAACCAAUUCACUUGAGUGAGACAGAGGAGAGUGGAAUUUCGUGUGUAGGGGUGAAAUCCGUAGAUCUACGAAGGAACGCCAAAAGUGAAGGCAGCUCUCUAGGUCCCUACCAACGCUGGGGUGCGAAAGCAUGGGGAGCGAACAGG